GGAUUGUGGCUCAGUGGUAGAGCGCUCGCCUAGCACGUGUGAGGCCCUGAGUUUGAUCCUCAACACCA
rnacentral:tRNA from 1 species